rnacentral:rRNA from 1 species
GACGAACGCUGGCGGCGUGCUUAACACAUGCAAGUCGAACGAAGUGGCGAACGGGUGAGUAAUACGUGAGUAACCUGCCCUCCUUUUUGGGAUAAGCCUUGGAAACGGGGUCUAAUACCGAAUACAGGGGGAUGGGCUCGCGGCCUAUCAGCUUGUUGGUGGGGUGAUGGCCUACCAAGGCGGUGACGGGUAGCCGGCCUGAGAGGGUGACCGGUGACAUUGGGAAGGAGUUACGGCCCAGACGCCUACGGGCGGCAGCAGUGGGGCACAUUGCACAAUGGGCGAAAGCCUGAGGCAGCGACGCCGCGUGGGGGAUGAAGGCUUUGGGGUUGUAAACGUCUUUCGCUUUCGAACGGGUAGGUGGAGAAGAAGCGCCGGCUAACUACGUGCCAGCAGCCGCGGUAAUUC